rnacentral:rRNA from 1 species
CCUACGGGGGGCAGCAGUAGGGAAUAUUGCUCAAUGGGGGAAACCCUGAAGCAGCAACGCCGCGUGGAGGAUGAAGGUUUUCGGAUUGUAAACUCCUUUUGUUAGAGAAGAUAAUGACGGUAUCUAACGAAUAAGCACCGGCUAACUCCGUGCCAGCAGCCGCGGUAAUACGGAGGAUGCGAGCGUUAUCCGGAUUUAUUGGGUUUAAAGGGUGCGCAGGCGGCCUGUUAAGUCAGCGGUAAAAGCCCGGGGCUCAACCCCGGCGAGCCGUUGAAACUGGCGGGCUGGAGUUGGAGAGAAGUACGCGGAAUGCGCGGUGUAGCGGUGAAAUGCUUAGAUAUCGCGCAGAACCCCGAUUGCGAAGGCAGCGUACCGGCUCCACACUGACGCUGAGGCACGAAAGCGUGGGUAUCGAACAGGAUUAGAUACCCGGGUAGUC